ACACUCCUGCGGGAGGCAGCAGUGGGGAAUUUUGGACAAUGGGCGAAAGCCUGAUCCAGCCAUGCCGCGUGAGUGAAGACGGCCUUCGGGUUGUAAAGCUCUUUUGUCAGGGAAGAAAAGGUGAAAGCUAGUAUCUUUUGCUAAUGACGGUACCUGAAGAAUAAGCACCGGCUAACUCCGUGCCAGCAGCCGCGGUAAUACGUAGGGUGCAAGCGUUAAUCGGAAUUACUGGGCGUAAAGCGUGCGCAGGCGGUUUUGUAAGUCUGAUGUGAAAUCCCCGGGCUCAACCUGGGAAUUGCAUUGGAGACUGCAAGGCUAGAAUCUGGCAGAGGGGGGUAGAAUUCCACGUGUAGCAGUGAAAUGCGUAGAUAUGUGGAGGAACACCGAUGGCGAAGGCAGCCCCCUGGGUCAAGAUUGACGCUGAUGCACGAAAGCGUGGGGAGCAAACAGGAUUAGAAACCCUUGUAGUCCCAUGAU
rnacentral:rRNA from 1 species